GAUGAACGCUGGCGGCGUGCCUAAUACAUGCAAGUCGAGCGAACAGACGAGGAGCUUGCUCCUCUGACGUUAGCGGCGGACGGGUGAGUAACACGUGGAUAACCUACCUAUAAGACUGGGAUAACUUCGGGAAACCGGAGCUAAUACCGGAUAAUAUAUUGAACCGCAUGGUUCAAUAGUGAAAGACGGUUUUGCUGUCACUUAUAGAUGGAUCCGCGCCGCUUUAGCUAGUUGGUAAGGUAACGGGUUACCAAGGCAACGAUGCGUAGCCGACCUGAGAGGGUGAUCGGCCACACUGGAACUGAGACACGGUCCAGACUCCUACGGGAGGCAGCAGUAGGGAAUCUUCCGCAAUGGGCGAAAGCCUGACGGAGCAACGCCGCGUGAGUGAUGAAGGUCUUCGGAUCGUAAAACUCUGUUAUUAGGGAAGAACAAAUGUGUAAGUAACUAUGCACGUCUUGACGGUACCUAAUCAGAAAGCCACGGCUAACUACGUG
rnacentral:rRNA from 1 species